rnacentral:rRNA from 1 species
AUUGAACGCUGGCGGCAGGCCUAACACAUGCAAGUCGAACGAGUGGCGGACGGGUGAGUAAUGUCUGGGAAACUGCCUGAUGGAGGGGGAUAACUACUGGAAACGAUAGCUAAUACCGCAUACCAUCGGAUGUGCCCAGAUGGGAUUAGCUAGUAGGUGGGGUAACGGCUCACCUAGGCGACGAUCCCUAGCUGGUCUGAGAGGAUGACUAGCCACACUGGGACUGAGACACGGUCCAGACUCCUACGCGAGGCAGCAGUCGGGAAUAUUGCACAAUGUGCGAAAGCCUGAUGCAGCCAUGCCGCGUGUAUGAAGAAGGCCUUCGGGUUGUAAAGUACUUUCAGCGGGGAGGCGUUACCCGCAGACGAAGCAACGGCUAACUCCGUGCCCGCAGCCGCGGUCAUUC